GAAGGGCCCGAGCGUUAAUCGGAAUCACUGGGCUUAAAGCGUACGUAGGCGGGUGCGCAGGCAUCUUGUGAAAUCCCUCGGGCUCAACCGAGGAACUGCAGGGUGAACCGCGUAUCUUGAGACGAGUAGGGGCUGUCGGAACGCUAGGUGGAGUGGUGAAAUGCGUUGAUAUCUAGCGGAACGCCGAAGGAGAAAUCAGGCAGCUGGGCUUGUUCUGACGCUGAGGUACGAAAGCGUGGGGAGCGAACGGGAUUAGAUACCCCGGUAGUCCACGCCGUAAACGAUGUGCACUAGGUCGAGGGGGGCUCUGACGCUGCUCUUGGCCGAAGCAAAAGUGUUAAGUGCACCGCCUGGGGAGUACGGUCGCAAGGCUA
rnacentral:rRNA from 1 species